rnacentral:piRNA from 1 species
UCCCAAUAAAGCUGAGGGCAUGAAGGCUUA